UACGAAGGGUGCAAGCGUUACUCGGAAUUACUGGGCGUAAAGCGUGCGUAGGUGGUUCGUUAAGUCUGAUGUGAAAGCCCUGGGCUCAACCUGGGAAUGGCAUUGGAAACUGGCGACCUAGAGUGCGGUAGAGGGUAGUGGAAUUCCCGGUGUAGCAGUGAAAUGCGUAGAGAUCGGGAGGAACAUCUGUGGCGAAGGCGACUGCCUGGACCAGCACUGACACUGAGGCACGAAGGCGUGGGGAGCAAACAGG
rnacentral:rRNA from 1 species